AUUCCUACGGGAGGCAGCAGUGGGGGAUAUUGCACAAUGGGGGAAACCCUGAUGCAGCCAUGCCGCGUGUGUGAAGAAGGCCUUCGGGUUGUAAAGCACUUUCAGCGAGGAGGAAAGGUUGGUAGCUAAUAACUGCCAGCUGUGACGUUACUCGCAGAAGAAGCACCGGCUAACUCCGUGCCAGCAGCCGCGGUAAUAAU
rnacentral:rRNA from 1 species